UACGAAGGGGGCUAGCGUUGCUCGGAAUCACUGGGCGUAAAGCGCACGUAGGCGGAUUGUUAAGUCAGGGGUGAAAUCCUGGAGCUCAACUCCAGAACUGCCUUUGAUACUGGCGAUCUCGAGUCCGGGAGAGGUGAGUGGAACUGCGAGUGUAGAGGUGAAAUUCGUAGAUAUUCGCAAGAACACCAGUGGCGAAGGCGGCUCACUGGCCCGGUACUGACGCUGAGGCACGAAAGCGUGGGGAGCAAAUAGG
rnacentral:rRNA from 1 species